GAUGAAGAACGCAGCGAAAUGCGAUAAGUAAUGUGAAUUGCAGAAUUCACUGAAUCAUCGAAUCUUUGAACGCACAUUGCGCCCGCCAGUAUUCUGGCGGGCAUGCCUGUUCGAGCGUCAUUUCAACCAUCAAGCCCCCGGCUUGUGUUGGGGACCUGCGGCUGCCGCAGGCCCUGAAAAGCAGUGGCGGGCUCGCUGUCACACCGAGCGUAGUAGCAUACAUCUCGCUCUGGGCGUGCUGCGGGUUCCGGCCGUUAAACCACCUUCAUAACCCAAGGUUGACCUCGGAUCAGGUAGGAAGACCCGCUGAACUUAAGCAUAUCAAUAAGCGGAGGA
rnacentral:misc_RNA from 1 species